rnacentral:rRNA from 1 species
UUGGAAAUGGGAAACUUGUGGCCGAAGAGAAGAGUGAAUUCCACGUGUAGCGUGAAAUGCGUAGAGAUGUGAAGAACACCAGUGGCGAAGGCGACUCUCUGGUCUGUAACUGACGCUGAGGAGCGAAAGCCUGGGGAGCAACCUGGAUUAGAUACCCUUGUAGUUCACGCCGUAACCGAUGACUGUUAAGUGCUAGGGGGUUUCCGCGCAUUAGUGCUGCACCUAAGGCAUUACACACUCCUCCUGGGGAGUAAGGUUGCACGAUUGAAAAUCAAACGAAUUGGGGGGGGCCGGCGCCAAUCGCUUCAGCAUUAAGUUAAUCGAAGCAACGCGAAACACCCUAUCAGGUCGUGACAUCCUUGCCACAUCCUAAAGAUAGCGGCUUCUCGUACGGAGCGAGAGGACACGUUCUGGCUAGGUGUCGUCAAGUUGCGUGCAGAUAAUCUCGCACUAGUUCCUCCACAACAACAGACCUUUGUUAUCAGUAACCAUCCAUCACUCACGCGCUGUUAGUCGAUCACACUUGACUCACCUGAGGAAGAGUGGCGAAGACGUCAAAUCAUCAUGCCCCUGUGACCUGGGCUACACACGUGCUACAAUCACAGAACAAAGGGGGGCGAGACCGCAAGGUUUAGCCAAUCCCA